CUACGGGGUGCACCAGUGAGGAAUAUUGCACAAUGGAGGAAACUCUGAUGCAGCAACGCCGCGUGGAGGAUGACGCAUUUCGGUGUGUAAACUCCUUUUAAGAGGGAAGAUUAUGACGGUACCUCUUGAAUAAGCACCGGCUAACUCCGUGCCAGCAGCCGCGGUAAUACGGAGGGUGCAAGCGUUACUCGGAAUCACUGGGCGUAAAGGGUGCGUAGGCUGGCUUCUAAGUCAGAUGUGAAAUCCAAUGGCUUAACCAUUGAACUGCAUUUGAAACUGGGAGCCUAGAGUUCAGAAGGGGCAGAUGGAAUUAGUGGUGUAGGGGUAAAAUCCGUAGAUAUCACUAGGAAUAUCAAAAGCGAAGGCGAUCUGCUGGGAUGAUACUGACGCUGAGGCACGAAAGCGUGGGGAGCAAACAGGAUUAGAUACCCCAGUAGUC
rnacentral:rRNA from 1 species